rnacentral:rRNA from 1 species
GACGAACGCUGGCGGCGUGCUUAACACAUGCAAGUCGAACGGAAAGGCCCUGCUUUUGUGGGGUGCUCGAGUGGCGAACGGGUGAGUAACACGUGAGUAACCUGCCCUUGACUUUGGGAUAACUUCAGGAAACUGGGGCUAAUACCGGAUAGGAGCUCCUGCUGCAUGGUGGGGGUUGGAAAGUUUCGGCGGUUGGGGAUGGACUCGCGGCUUAUCAGCUUGUUGGUGGGGUAGUGGCUUACCAAGGCUUUGACGGGUAGCCGGCCUGAGAGAGUGACCGGCCACAUUGGGACUGAGAUACGGCCCAGACUCCUACGGGAGGCAGCAGUGGGGAAUAUUGCACAAUGGGCGGAAGCCUGAUGCAGCAACGCCGCGUGCGGGAUGACGGCCUUCGGGUUGUAAACCGCUUUCGCCUGUGACGAAGCGUGAGUGGCGGUAAUGGGUAAAGAAGCACCGGCUAACUACGUG